rnacentral:lncRNA from 1 species
AUCCAGACUUAUGUAUACCAUCCAGCCUUAUGUACCAUCCAGCCUUAUAUGACAUCCAGCCAUAUGUAUCCAGCCUUAUAUGACAUCCAGUCUUAUGUACCAUCCAACCUUAUGUACCAUCCAGCCUUAUGUGACAUCCAGCUUUAUUACAGCAUUUUGUGACACCUAUCUUUAUGUACCAUCCAGAUUUAUAUGACAUUAGGAUUUUUGUCGCACGUAAUUGGUCACGAAUGACAAGUGUGCAUGCAACUUGCACUAGUGUGCGCCAGGCUUUAUGUUACACGAAACCCAGCUUGAUCAUGUGACUCAGAAUUUGACUCAGAGUUUGAUAUAAGGAAAGCAGCAUAUAUGUGCGCAUUAAUGCUAUAAUUAUAACGAGUCAUUCUCUAAUUGUGCUUAGUUGAAGUAUUUAACAAAAUAACAUAAUUCACA